rnacentral:rRNA from 1 species
AUUGAACGCUGGCGGCAUGCCUUACACAUGCAAGUCGAACGGUGACAGGUCUUCGGAUGCUGACGAGUGGCGAACGGGUGAGUAAUACAUCGGAACGUGCCUAGUAGUGGGGGAUAACUACUCGAAAGAGUGGCUAAUACCGCAUGAGAUCUACGGAUGAAAGCAGGGGAUCGCAAGACCUUGCGCUACUAGAGCGGCCGAUGGCAGAUUAGGUAGUUGGUGGGAUAAAAGCUUACCAAGCCGACGAUCUGUAGCUGGUCUGAGAGGACGAUCAGCCACACUGGGACUGAGACACGGCCCAGACUCCUACGGGAGGCAGCAGUGGGGAAUUUUGGACAAUGGGCGCAAGCCUGAUCCAGCAAUGCCGCGUGCAGGAUGAAGGCCUUCGGGUUGUGAACUGCUUUUGUACGGAACGAAAAGCCCUGGGUUAAUACCCUGGGGUCAUGACGGUACCGUAAGAAUAAGCACCGGCUAACUACGUGCCAGCCGCCGCAGUAAGAC